rnacentral:lncRNA from 1 species
CAUGGGCAGAAAGGUGAAAAUUGUGGCCAGAGGCAGAUUGUGGUAAAUUACAAAAUUGGCUCAUAAUCCUUUAUUCCUUCUUGCCUCCAUGCUCUUUGCAAUGUGACUUUGCCACUUUUCUCAUUAAGAGAUGGAUUCUGUUCUCCAUUGCCUUCUGUCUGGACUGGUCUUGUAACUUGUUCUGGUUAAUACAGAGGUAAAUGUGAUGACACAUCAGAAGCCCAGGCCUCAAGCAAGCUUUCCCACUUGUUCUCUUGGAACCCUUCCCAGCUAUCAGGUAAAUAAGCCCAGGCUAUUGUGCUGGAUGAUGAGAGGUCACUGGAACACUGAUGAGCCAUAACAGCUGAGGCCAUUCUAGAAUAGGCAGCUUUAGCCAACCAGGCAGCUGACUGCAGAUACAGGCCUGCAUCCAGAUGAGUCCAGAAAAGCAACCUAGACACUACUGGCAAAGACAUUGAAAAGAAUCACACUGCUAAACCAGUAGCAGCUUUUAUCUUCUUCUCAGAUUGUAUACAUGCAGGAUAAAAGUGUUUCUAACACAUAGACUUCUAUAUUCCAGCAUAAAGAUGUAUUAGGCGCAUUUAUACUUUUACAUCGAAGCCUGUUUCAACAUGAACGGAGCCCAGGGAAGUUGGUGACUUAAUCCUCGUUAUACCCUGAUUUUGGACAAAUUUUACAAGAAGAAUAGGACUUCUACUUCUCUAUGUCUACAUGCACCUGGAACAGUGCUAGGUCUAUGCUUACAAAUUGAUUGGUUCAGGUCACCGCCAUGAGCCUCAGGACAGAAAAUUGCCGGAUAUGAGAGAGAGAGAGAGAUUUGACUGGGCUAAGAAAGAAAUGAACACGAUUUAGAGAUGGAAAUGGUGACAUAUGGGCCUUUGAAGCCUCCCAUGUUCCAGAGAAGCCUUUUCUAGCUGAUCUCCCACCAUGACAUCCUUCCCCCACAGCUGGUUUGUC